rnacentral:lncRNA from 1 species
AAAAAAAUUAAAUUAUGCAAAAGAGAUAAGGAGAGUAUUCCAAUAUAGUCCUCCCACACUUCCAACGAUGAUGAGAAGAUGUAUGCUGCAGCCUUAUCCACAUAUGAAAAUGUGGUUUCUUAGAGUUUUGAAUCCGUGACGACCAGGUCAUAAUGGAACAACCUUACCACCCUGUCAAGACCAAUCGUAUCCACAUAUGAAGAUGUGGUUUCUUAAGUUUUGAAUU